AGCAGCGUGGCUUUAUGGAAAGAGCACUGGCCUGAGAGUCAGAGGACCUGGGUUCUAAUUCUGGCUCUGCCA
rnacentral:tRNA from 1 species